rnacentral:rRNA from 1 species
GAUGAACGCUAGCGGCAGGCCUAACACAUGCAAGUCGAGGGGGAAGUUACUUUCGGGUGACUGAGACCGGCGUACGGGUGCGUAACGCGUAUACAAUCUGCCUUUCACUGGGGGAUAGCCCGAAGAAAUUUGGAUUAAUACCCCAUAGUAUAUAGGGACGGCAUCGUUUUUAUAUUAAAGCUUAGGUGGUGAAAGAUGAGUAUGCGUUCUAUUAGCUAGUUGGAGAGGUAACGGCUCCCCAAGGCGAUGAUAGAUAGGGGUUCUGAGAGGGAUGUCCCCCACACUGGUACUGAGAUACGGACCAGACUCCUACGGGAGGCAGCAGUGAGGAAUAUUGGACAAUGGUCGGAAGACUGAUCCAGCCAUGCCGGGUGCAGGAGGAAGGUCUUAUGGAUUGUAAACUGCUUUUGGAAGGGAAGAAUAAGGGCUACGCGUAGUUUGAUGACGGUACCUUACGAAUAAGCAUCGGCUAACUCCGUG